rnacentral:lncRNA from 1 species
AUUUUAAGUAGUCGUACAGUUUGUUUCUCCUAGCGAAGUGUACCGGUACAUGCAUAAAAUACGGAAGAAUGGAGAAGGCAUGACUUGCAUUUCCCAACUUCCGGCUGGAAUGAGUAACAGCAAAGAUGCCAAGUUCAAAGAGUGUGAGUUUCCCAUCUUUCAGGUCUUCUGUUCUUAAUGAUGAAGAUAUGAUAGCCCUUAGCCUUGACGGUUUGACCUCCCUUGCACUGUUCAGAAGACACAAUUAGGAAAUGAUUGCUAUUUGAGGUGUUCUGCUAUAUGCUCAUAAGUUCUACAUGAAGAUCAAAAACUGUUGUUUCCAUGCCUUCAGUCCUUCACAUGUCAGUUACAUUUUGCUUGCUAGUUCUCACCAUAGUCUUCUCUAGUCCCUACAUAUUAUUGGCAUAGCACCCCAACUCGUUCUCGACGAUGCUUUUGAGCUACUAGUUUCUGAGCAACAUUUCCUUCAUUUGAUCUGGCAAAAAGAAUUAAUCUUGGUAAUGCUCUCUUCACAUCUCUUCUCUUCAAGCUUUUAGUGCUACUGUCAAGACACACAUCACCCCUACUUUUAAAGAAUUAAAAAAAUGCCCUUGAAAAAUGGGAUCAUAAUGUUCUGCCUUUUGUUCAGAGAACUUACUUUUAGCUUUAUAAGUUGAAACACUUUCAGCAACUUCUGAUUUCUUGCACUUUCUGAGAAAAUUACAGCAACACGAGGGAUAUUUAGGUCACUACCCAUGAUUUUGUAUUAGUCUCUGCUUAUUAACUGGUAAGGUUAAGGUAGUUGAAGCACAAGCUACCAAGAUUAAUAUUUAUAGUAUGAUACCAAUAAAGACACACUGGAGUUUGUUGGGUCUUGAGGAAGCAAAGAGGCUUCAUGUCUCGUCCAGUGUGCUAAUACAGCUUCUCCUCAUCGAAAGAAGAGACAACCAGAUGCCUAGCUUAAACUCCACGUCUUUGCUUUCUUCCGAACAACCAACACGACCAAGGCGAGCUGCAGCCUUCUCUAUCUAACAAACAGAUUGUCUGUUUCAUUCAAGUUGAGUAGCCUUUUUCCUAAAUAUGCGUGCUUGAACCAAUGAUUUUCUCUAUUUUAGAUCCAAGCUAUUUCAGUUGAUCACUUCUAACAUGCUACUGUGUCAUUUGUUCAUCAGCUUUGUCUCUUCCAUUUGGUUCCUUUUCCCCCAAAAUUGUACUACUUUAAGAUACAUCUUUGAGGCUCCUUGGUUACUAACUUCUGUUGUUUUAGAUAUUGAGUGAAGGCACCAGAGGCCAGAAUGAUUGCUGAGGGAGGUUAUUUUGAUGGUUCCAGAGAUGCUAUCCUCAUGGCAGGAUCACUGAUUCACGAUUCCCUGGACUCUAUUUGUGACAAUACAGAGAUUGAGCAAGGAAACUUCCACGGUCCCUCCUUUUUCAUAGAAGAUAUAUGCAAUCCAACCAAUCUUACCUCUGAGUCUGCACGAACAAUCAACCAUAUACAACAUCGGGC